rnacentral:rRNA from 1 species
GACAGAGGUUGCAAACGUUGUUCGGAAUCACUGGGCAUAAAGCGCACGUAGGCGGUCUGUUAAGUCAGGUGUGAAAGCCCCCGGCUCAACCGGGGAAUUGUAUUUGAUACUGGCAGGCUCGAGAACGGUAGGGGUGAGUGGAACUCCAGGUGGAGCGGUGAAAUGCGUAGAUAUCUGGAGGAACACCGGUGGCGAAAGCGGCUCACUGGACCGUCACUGACGCUGAGGUGAGAAAGCUAGGGUAGCAAACGGG